GAUCAUGGACUAACAUGUCCUAGUGAUGAUAUGCAAUGACAUAAGACCUUUGUCUCUACAUUCUUGGUUGUUGGCGAGUUACAUGUAUCACAUUCCUUGUGUACCUAACACCACCACAACUCAAUGCAAGAUCAGAUCAUCCCAUUGGGAUCAAACCAAGAUCAUCCAUCCUGUUUGAUCACCAAUGCCACAAUAAUAUAUAAUACUUGAAACAAGCCAGACAAUCAAGGCAAGAACAAGCAGAUU
rnacentral:lncRNA from 1 species